AUUGAACGCUGGCGGCAGGCCUAACACAUGCAAGUCGAGCGAGCGGCGGACGGGUGAGUAAUGUAUGGGGAUCUGCCCGAUAGAGGGGGAUAACUACUGGAAACGGUAGCUAAUACCGCAUACUAUAGGAUGAACCCAUAUGGGAUUAGCUAGUAGGUGGGGUAAAGGCUCACCUAGGCGACGAUCUCUAGCUGGUCUGAGAGGAUGACCAGCCACACUGGGACUGAGAAACGGCCCAGACUCCUACGGGAGGCAGCAGUGGGGAAUAUUGCACAAUGGGCGAAAGCCUGAUGCAGCCAUGCCGCGUGUAUGAAGAAGGCCUUAGGGUUGUAAAGUACUUUCAGCGAGGAGGCGUUACCCGCAGAAGAAGCACCGGCUAACUACGUGCCAGCAGCCGCGGUAAUAC
rnacentral:rRNA from 1 species